AUGGGGUCGGAGGCCUGCCAUGAGAAGCCGCACGCCGUGAUGAUCCCGUACCCGGCGCAGGGCCAUGUCACGCCCAUGAUGAAGAUGGCCAAGCUGCUCCACGCCCGGGGCUUCCACGUCACCUUCGUCAACACCGAGUUCAACCACCGCCGGCUGCUCCACUCGCGCGGGGCGGGGGCGCUUGACGGCGUCCCGGGCUUCCGCUUCGCCGCCAUACCGGAUGGGCUGCCGUCGUCCGACGCCGACGCCACGCAGGACGUUCCCGCGCUCUGCAACUCCACCAUGACCACCUGCCUCCCCCACCUCCUGGCCCUUCUUGCCAAGCUCAACGACCAGGGUUCCGGGGUGCCGCCGGUCACCUGCCUUGUCGUCGACGGCGUCAUGUCGUUCGGUUAUGACGCUGCCAAGGAGAUUGGCGUGCCCUGCGCGGCCUUGUGGACGGCCAGCGCGUGCGGGUUCAUGGGCUACCGCCACUACCCGCAGCUCAUCGAGUCGGGUUUCGUGCCUUUCAAAGAUGAGGCUCAGCUCACAGACAAGGCGCACCUGGACACGGUGGUACAGGGCGUGCGCGGCAUGUGCAACGGCAUGAGGCUGCGGGACUUCCCGUCCUUCAUGCGCACCACCGACCGCGGUGACAUAAUGCUCAACUUCUUCGUGCACGAGGGCGGGCGCCUGUCGCUCCCCACCGCCGUCAUGAUCAACACGUUCGACGAGCUGGAGCGGCCGGUCCUCGACGCCAUGCGCGCCAUCCUCCCGCCCCUCUACACCGUGGGGCCGCUGCUUCUCCACGCCCACCACGCCGUCCCCGACGGCACCUCGCUCGACGCCCUUGGCUCCAACCUCUGGAAGGAGCAGGACGGCCUCCUCGACUUGCUCGACGGCCACGGCGCCAACUCCGUGGUGUACGUGAACUACGGCAGCAUCACUGUGAUGACGAACGAGCAGCUCCUGGAGUUCGCGUGGGGGCUGGCCAACAGCGGCUACCCUUUCAUAUGGAACAUCCGGCCGGACCUGGUCAAGGGCGACACGGCCGUGCUGCCGCCGGAGUUCAUGGCCUCCAUCGACGGCCGUGCCAUGCUCACCACGUGGUGCUCGCAGGAGAAGGUCCUCGCGCACAAGGCCGUGGGGGUGUUCCUGACGCACUCCGGGUGGAACUCGACGCUGGAGAGCAUCUCUAACGGCGUGCCGAUGCUCAGCUGGCCCUUCUUCGCGGAGCAGCAGACCAACUGCAGGUACAAGUGCACGGAGUGGGGGAACGGGAUGGAGAUCGACGGCGAGGUGAAGCGGGAGGUCCUGGCGGCGAUGAUACGUGAGGCCAUGGAAGGGGAGAAGGGGCUGGAGAUGAGGAGGCGUGCGGCGGAGUGGAAGGAGAGUGCGGUUAGAGCCACGCUUCCUGGUGGAUCCGCGGUGGCCAACCUGGACUCGGUGAUCCGUGACGUGCUCCUCGCCAACUUCAACAACAAAAACUGA
rnacentral:rRNA from 1 species